GUAGGGAAUAUUGGGCAAUGGAGGAAACUCUGACCCAGCCAUGCCGCGUGAAGGAUGAAUGUCCUUUGGAUUGUAAACUUCUUUUAUAAGGGAAGAAACCUACGGAUUUAUCUGUAGCUGACGGUACCUUACGAAUAAGCACCGGCUAACUCCGUGCCAGCAGCCGCGGUAAUACGGAGGGUGCAAGCGUUAUCCGGAUUCACUGGGUUUAAAGGGUGCGUAGGCGGGUUGGUAAGUCAGUGGUGAAAGCCCCAAGCUCAACUUGGGAACUGCCAUUGAUACUGCCAGUCUUGAGUGUGGUUGAAGUGGGCGGAAUAUGACAUGUAGCGGUGAAAUGCUUAGAUAUGUCAUAGAACACCGAUUGCGAAGGCAGCUCACUAAACCAUUACUGACGCUGAGGCACGAAAGCGUGGGGAGCGAACAGGAUUAGAAACCCCUGUAGUCC
rnacentral:rRNA from 1 species